rnacentral:rRNA from 1 species
UACGUAGGGUGCAAGCGUUGUUCGGAAUUAUUGGGCGUAAAGCGCGUGUAGGUGGCUAGUUAAGUUGGGUGUGAAAUCCCCGGGCUCAACCCAGGAAGUGCACUCAAAACUGGCUGGCUAGAAGAUAGUAGAGGAUGGUGGAAUUCCAAGUGUAGAGGUGAAAUUCGUAGAUAUUUGGAGGAAUACCGGCGGCGAAGGCGGCCAUCUGGGCUAUUCUUGACACUGAGACGCGAAAGCGUGGGGAGCAAACAGG